CAACCACAUUGCUGUGGGUCUGGAGUCACAUGUAGGCCAGACCAGAUGGUCCACAAAAGCCGGCCUUUUUGGCUACAUGUUUGGUCACCUGCCCUCCUAUGUUGAGAGGAAUUAACUUCAUCAGACAGAUGUGAUUUAAUGGAAUAUAGUUUAAUUUACCUAACUGAAGAGGCAGCUUGUUUCAGACUACUUAUGCCUGCACACUUGGGGCGCGAGAUGGUGCCACAAUGCCUUACAUAUCUACUGGAGCAAGAAUGUGAGGCCUCAGAUCAACAUCAAAUCCAAAAGAUGACUGUGUUGGCUUGCGAGGCAGGCUCUCUCUCCUGGUCACUUCAGAAACCGGCAGCUUCUUAUUCUGCCCCAAGUCACCCAAGUUGACUGUCAAAUCACACCAGACCUCUCUCCAGACUGAAAGUCAGACAUGCUGCCAGCCACUUCUAAAGAUUGAGUUGGCAGAGUGGGAAUUUCUCUUGCUUCUGUCACCUCACCCAGGACAGAAACUCAGGGCCACGAUGCU